rnacentral:sRNA from 1 species
AAGCAUAGUUCCUAUCCCCAAGGAGCACACUGUUGGCUAGACACCCAUAAACAGAUAACCAUCUACAGGUGCUAAGUUUUGGGUUCCAGGAGAGCUUCCGGGAAGAAUUUCUUCCUAUAAGCCAGAUUUGGUAUGGAAGAAGUCAUACCCUAGUCAGUGGGCACAGCACAAACAAAGGCAGAGCAGCUGCAGGAACCUUAGCCAGGAGAUAUGCAUAGUUGAUGCUGGGAAUUUGGAGAUCAGGCCACCAGAGCGUGGUGAAUAUUGGAACACCUGGCUGGUGCCCUGGAUUUGGUUCUGUUUGUAUCUUACAGCUAUGGGAUGAUGACUUGGGAGCGCUAUGGGCCUGCCCCAUGGACAAAUACAUCCACAAGCGCUGGGCCCUCGUGUGGCUGGCCUGCCUACUCUUUGCCGCUGCGCUUUCCCUCAUCCUCCUUCUCAAAAAGGAUCAUGCGAAAG